rfam:Prunus persica cultivar Lovell chromosome G7, whole genome shotgun sequence.
ACGACCUUACUUGGACAGGAUCUGUUCUAUAGGAUCGUACCUCUGUAUCCUUGAUUUCUAAGGAGACAGGAAUCCCAACCUGGUGGAUGAAUCAUGACCGUGUGAUCAGAGCGUGAUUAACAGCUUCUGGUGGUUCCUUGGAAUCAUUUAGCGGUAGAGGAUCGUUCUCAGCUGGGUGACUGGUCUGGGGUGGUCGCACGGUUGUCUGACAGGUU